rnacentral:misc_RNA from 1 species
AACGAGGCCGACCUGCGGCUGAGUUACCUGCGGAAGGAUCAUUACUGAGUGAAGGUCCCCCUUUCGGGGGGGGCCUAACCUCCCACCCGUGUCUAUUAUACCCUGUUGCUUCGGCGGGUUCUCUCCCCCAUUACUGGGGGUGUUGCCCGCCGGAGACCCCCAACAUGAACACUGUAUUGAGAGUAUUGAAGUCUGAGUUGAUUGUUACCAAUCAGUUAAAACUUUUAACAACGGAUCUCA